AUAAAGAAAUAAAUAAAUAAAUAUUAAAAAAUACAUACUCAAGCUAAAAAUGAGAGAUGUUUCAUUACAUUACUUCUUUUCAAUAAAUGCACUGAAAUCCCUUUUGGAAGCAGACAGAGUAAAUUAAAAGUUUAAAACCUGUGUUAGUUCUAAUACUGAUGCCAUGUUUUUUCAUAGUAAUUACUACUGUGGAUAGCUUGUCUGAGGACAGUUAUUACAUUCCCACGUUUGUGAUGGAAUAACUGAAGCAUAAGUUUAAGCAAGGAUGAAAAAAAAUUCAAGAGGCUUUCAUAUCCAUCUAUAAAGCCUCCUAGAGCAGUAUCAAAAGUUUUAAAUUGAUCUGAACAGCCUUUAUGACUUCUUCAGCAUACUAAGGAAGAGAGCAAGGCAGCGGGGGGAAUGGCUCCCAGGGAACAGAGCAUGAUGUGAACUCCAAGACAUCAGCCAUUCCCUCAACUCCUAUACUGGACAGGAAAUGAACCCACAAUUCACCUGGCUCCAGAAUGCCUGGCCCUGGAAGUCUGGGUGUCCAUGGCAAUGGCAAACCAGACCUGGUGAAGCGUUAAUAGCAGAAAUAAGAGCAUGUAGUUCUCCAGAAUAAAGACUACGCUUUCCAAUCUUCCCUGCUGCUGGGUACAACCAUGUGAAUGAGUUUUGAUCAAUGGGAUAUGAGGAGAAGCAAUGAAUGGAACCUUCGGGUCACCACUAAAUGGGACGGGUUUGGAAUAUGGACAUCAUGGUGAACCCUCCUCUUCAAACCUACAGCAGAUGUCACCCUAGAAUUAUACGGCUCAUGUCUGGAAUGUUACACGAGAUGGAAAUAAACAUCUGUCGAGUUUAA